GCCUCGGUUAGGCGCAGCCACAUCUAAACCUAAUUUACUAAAGAGAAUCCUCCGUCGAAACCAUGUCUUCCUUGAACAGCAAAUUCUCCGCGGCUGACACAGGCGUCUUCUGGGACCUACUGGUCUCGGUCCUGAUUCGAUCUCUGCUAAUAUCAAAUUAGCUCUCGAGAAUGUUGGUUAUACUGGCAAAGUGUCGAUCUUUGCUUAUUCUGUUGCGGAGCAGAGCGAAGAAGUAAAGUUUGGAUCCGCCGAAAUCAAGCUUAAACAAAAGCUAGGGACUAGAAAAACAAAACUUAUGGAGAUAUAUCGGAACCUUUUUAUGUGGGGACUAGAACAUCGUUAUGAACCAACAAAUAUGAUGAUAAUCUCAGAAGACCUCUUACGAGACGUUGGCUACGUUUCGGGGCUUGUCCUUUUAAACGAAAAAGAAAACAAUCUUCUCUUAGCGCACCCUCAAAAAAAAUCAAGAGUGCUGCGUGAUACUGCAACUUCAAUAUGGCUUUGGAAAAGCCUAUCAACUGGAGGGAGCCCUCUCGAUGGCCACAGCAUGAGAUCAGAAUCUCCUCAGUUGUGCCGUCUACACAUUGUUCUGCUUGCAGCAGAAGGGCUCUUCGUCUUACCAAUAAGCGAAAGAAACGUACGACCAAAGGUUUUCGAUUUUUGUUUCGCUUUAUAUAAUGUGUUCCUAGUUAUUCCUCUGUUGAUGUGAAAUCUCUUUGGUCGCUUCCAUACCAUUCGUUUGCUAAGAGUUGUUUUCUGUUUAUUUUGUUUGGUGUGAAUCUACAUUCUCUAUAACUUCGAUUAUGAAAUUGUCUGUAUAAUUGCGUGAUUA